ensembl:processed_transcript 4933416E03Rik RIKEN cDNA 4933416E03 gene
ACAGCCAACGUGAGCAGUGGAUAAACAGGUCCAUCGACGGUUUCCUAGGAGAAGGUGGCCACCAGGGAAAACAAUCACAAGGCAAUCAGCACAGGAGGUUAGCGUCAGUGUGCACACCUGCUAGAUGGGCCUCAGAUUGAUCCUCUUCAGCAAGAUCUAGCCCUUUAAGCAGCAGUGUCAAUGUGUCAGCUUGGAUACAUUGGUUCUCCACCAGAUUCUGUCACACAGAAAACCACUGUCAACUGUGCUCAUAUGCCUUGGGUCUGAGACUAAAAGAUCCACCAGAAGAAAUGGAUGUCAGCUCUGCCACGGAUCCAUAUGACCAAAUCCAGACUAACAGAAGGUGUCCAUCCAAAUGUUCAACUCAAGACCAUCUUACAUUACUCAUCACAUCUCCCACACCCUGCCAUGAUGGUUAGACUAGCUAAGAGAAGUCCCCUGGGCUAAAAUAAGAUGUUCACUGUGGAGCCCUGUAUGCACCUGAUCUACAUCCCACUUUAACUUACCAGGCCUCUCUAAUUCUUUCUCUUAUGAAGAUGAACUGUACAAUGGAUAAGCACCAAGGGAGCAUGAAGAGAAACAAAGUUACAACCUCCAGUUGGGAAAUGCCAAGCCAGCUGCUCCUAGCUUUCUUCCAGUUGCUGGUAAGAGCUCAUAAGAAACUUUACACUAAAUUUCAUAACCCUAUGCAAAUCCAGUGAAAGCCAUCUUUCUGCAGAAGCUCGUGGGUGGCUUUCAGCCAGAUACAAGCCAAGAGAGUCUUUUCUGUAUGUUUGAAACAUACACUUUGUAUAUAUUUAUGUGUUUUCUAUAUUAUUCAAAUUGAUUAUUAAAGAAAGCAUGUAGCAUAUAUUAGGAGGCAUUAAACUGCAUUGAAUUAUUAAAAUUAAAAUGAUUUGCAAAUCAUAUGCUAGGUAUUGUGAGGUAUUACAAUUAAGCAACACAGGCCAAGUUCAUCUUACUGUGCGUUUAUUUUUAAAUAAACGUUUACUGGAAAACAGUU